GACGAACGCUGGCGGCGUGCUUAACACAUGCAAGUCGAACGGUAAGGCCCUUCGGGGUACACGAGUGGCGAACGGGUGAGUAACACGUGGGUGAUCUGCCCUGCACUUCGGGAUAAGCCUGGGAAACUGGGUCUAAUACCGGAUAGGACUCCGGACUGCAUGGUCUGGGGUGGAAAGCUUUUGCGGUGUGGGAUGGGCCCGCGGCCUAUCAGCUUGUUGGUGGGGUGAUGGCCUACCAAGGCGACGACGGGUAGCCGGCCUGAGAGGGUGACCGGCCACACUGGGACUGAGAUACGGCCCAGACUCCUACGGGAGGAAGCAGUGGGGAAGAUUGUACAAUGGGCGCAAGCCUGAUGCAGCGACGCCGCGUGAGGGAUGACGGCCUUCGGGUUGUAAACCUCUUUCAGCAUCGACGAAGCGAAAGUGACGGUAGGUGCAGAAGAAGGACCGGCCAACUACGUGCCAGCCGCCGCGGUAA
rnacentral:rRNA from 1 species